rnacentral:rRNA from 1 species
UAAGUCACUUUAUCUUUAUGGUAAAUGUGAGAUGCAGUGUAUGGAACGUCUAUAAUCUAGUAUGAGAAAUUAGCGAUUUAAGUCCUUCUUAAAUGAGGCCAUUUACCCAUAGAGGGUGCCAGGCCCGUAUAACGUUAAUGAUUACUAGAAGAUGUUUCCAAAGAGUCGUGUUGCUUGAUAGUGCAGCACUAAGUGGGUGGUAAACUCCAUCUAAAACUAAAUAUAACCAUGAGACCGAUAGUAAACAAGUACCGUGAGGGAAAGUUGAAAAGAACUCUGAAUAGAGAGUUAAAUAGUACGUGAAACUGCUUAGAGGUUAAGCCCGAUGAACCUGAAUAUCCAUUAUGGGAAAUUCAUCAUUAUACCUAUAAUAUUAAUAAUAUUGUAGAAAUAGUGUGCAUUUUUUCCAUAUAAGGACAUUGUAAUCUAUUAAUGUUAUAUAUAUUUAUCAAAAGAUCAUUUGCUUAAGUUUAUUCAAAUUAAUUUGCUUGCAAGUUAACAUAAAAUAAAUGCUUAUGAUUUGAUAAAGUGUUGAUAGAUUGAUUUAUAUAUAGUGCUUAAAUUCUUUGGAAUUUUACAAUGGCAUGAUUAUCUUUUGAUUUUUGUGUUUAUUUGUAUGCGCUUAUAUGAUUAACAAUGCGAUAGAUUCAGGAUACCUUCGGGACCCGUCUUGAAACACGGACCAAGGAGUCUAACAUAUGUGCAAGUCAUUGGGAUUAUUUAAUAUAAACCCAAAGGCAUAAUUAACUUAACUGUUAAUAAUGGGAUUAGUUUAAAGUCUAUUUAUAAUAGUCUUUUAAUUCAAUCCCGGGGCGUUCUAUACAGUUAUGUAUAAUAGUAUUUAUAUUAUUUAUAUCUCUAACUAGAGCGUACCUUGAGCAAAUAUGCUGUGACCCGAAAGAUGGUGAACUAUACUUGAUCAGGUUGAAGUCAGGGGAAACCCUGAUGGAAGACCGAAACAGCUCUGACGUGCAAAUCGANNNNNNNGAUAGAAUAAUGUAGGUUAGGGAAGUCGGCAAAUUAGAUCCGUAACUUCGGGAUAAGGAUUGGCUCUGAAGAUUGAGAUAGUCGGGCUUGAUUGGGAAGCAAUAACAUGGUUUAUGUACUCGUUCUGUGUAAAUAGAGAUUUUCGGAUCUUGUUCCCCGGAUAGUAGUUACGUAGCCAAUUGUGGAACUUUCUUGCUAAAAUUUUUAAGGAAUUAUUUUUAAAUAUAUUCUUUUUAAAUUAUAACGAUUAUCAAUUAACAAUCAAUUCAGAACUGGCACGGACUUGGGGAAUCCGACUGUCUAAUUAAAACAAAGCAUUGUGAUGGCCCUAACGGGUGUUGACACAAUGUGAUUUCUGCCCAGUGCUCUGAAUGUCAAAGUGAAGAAAUUCAAGUAAGCGCGGGUAAACGGCGGGAGUAACUAUGACUCUCUUAAGGUAGCCAAAUGCCUCGUCAUCUAAUUAGUGACGCGCAUGAAUGGAUUAACGAGAUUCCUUCUGUCCCUAUCUACUAUCCAGCGACCCACAGCCAAGGGAACGGGCUUGGAAUAAUUAGCGGGGAAAGAAGACCCUGUUGAGCUUGACUCUAAUCUGGCAGUGUAAGGAGACAUAAGAGGUGUAGCAUAAGUGGGAGAUAGAUAAUUUCGGUUAUUUAUCAACAAUGAAAUACCACUACUCUUAUUGUUUCCUUACUUACUUGAUUAAGUGGAACGUGUAUCAUUGCUUAGCCAUUAUACGGAUAUAUUUAUAUGUCUUAUGGUAUUGGGUCUUGAUGCAAGCUUCUUGAUCAAAGUAUCACGAGUUUGUUAUAUAAUUGUAAACAAAUUUUGAUGAAAUAAUAGCAUUUCGGUGUUAUUAUCAUAGUUGAAAUUUGGUAUAACUCCAACACUCAGGUAUGAUCCAAUUCAAGGACAUUGCCAGGUGGGGAGUUUGACUGGGGCGGUACAUCUCUCAAAUAAUAACGGAGGUGUCCCAAGGCCAGCUCAGUGCGGACAGAAACCACACAUAGAGCAAAA